CGAAUUGACAGCGGCCAAACGAACGGCUAGAGUUUUCCGAUAAAGAGGAUGGCAUGCAAUGAGGAGCUAUGUGUUUGCUGUGCAUAAACGUUGGUUUUGUUUAUUUGUUUACGCUGUUGGCAUCAUUGUUGUGUUUCGGUGACUGCUGCAGGUUAUUGUCUGCAUUGCUGUUUUACGGGACGUGAGGGUUGUUGCCGUUGCUGCUGGGAUUGGCAACUCAGCGAUUGUGGGAGCUUUGCUAGUGGGUAUAUGAAAGAACCACUACCGGCGGGCUUGUGCCGUACUGCUUUAGUUGGAGACUCACCUGAUCGUUCCGGUUGUGAGACACAACAGCUAGUUCGACUGAAACCGGCCCAGCGUAGGUCCUUGGUCAUAACCCUGCUCCGGGCAAAUAGCCAAAGAAGGUGCCGCAAAAUCAACCAUCUUCGUCAAAUUUUCACCUGCGUGUACAAAUAUUUCAGUUUCGGGAGUCCCAAAGAUUACACGCACACAAAUAAUCAUCAAUUAAAAUGGAGUAUCCGCAACAUUCAGAACAAAUUAAAGAGCUUCAAGAUACAGUGAUUACCCUACGGCAAGAUAUUCCGAAAUUAUACAAAGGGCUUCUGAUGAAAGAGUGCCAAGUUAGGGCCAAUAAUUUAGUAGAAGCAAAAUUCAACAUUCCGCAUCAAAAUAUGGAAUUAUUGCAAAACUUACGUACAAUAGAUUUGGAUGGUGCCAGUCUACGCGGGGGCCCAACGCAGAUGAGGGAACUUCACAGACGUACCCAUCAGCUUCAGGAUUGUUUACAGCAUGUGCGGAACCAAAAAUGAUUAGUUUUAGAAUGUAAUAAAAAAUUGCCACUUUUAAUCGACAA